rnacentral:misc_RNA from 1 species
GAUGAAGAACGCAGCGAAAUGCGAUAAGUAAUGUGAAUUGCAGAAUUCAGUGAAUCAUCGAAUCUUUGAACGCACCUUGCGCUCCCUGGUAUUCCGGGGAGCACGCCUGUUCGAGUGUCGCGAAAUUCUUCAAGCCUUGGAUGGAUUUUUUUUGUCUGUCCUUGGGCUUGGUUGUUGGGCUCUGCCGUGUCCUUCAUUGGGACGGCUGGCCUUAAAAGCAUUAGCCGAUCCUCGUGUGGUACUGGUUCUACUCAGCGUGAUAACAAUCUGAUCGUUGAGGACAUCUUCUGGAUGGCCAGUCAUCAUUUGGGUUGCUUCUAAACCGGUUUCGCAGAUUGCUCAAUCUGUGUGCCACUUUUCAGCUUUGACCUCGAAUCAGGUGGGACUACCCGCUGAACUUAAGCAUAUCAAUAAGCGGAGGA